GAUCAUUGCUCAGGAUGAACGCUGGCGGCGUGCUUAACACAUGCAAGUCGAACGAAGCACUUAAGAUUGAUUCUUCGGAUGAAGUCUUCUGUGACUGAGUGGCGGACGGGUGAGUAACGCGUGGGUAACCUGCCUCAUACAGGGGGAUAACAGUUAGAAAUGACUGCUAAUACCGCAUAAGCGCACGGGGUCGCAUGACCUAUUGUGAAAAACUCCGGUGGU
rnacentral:rRNA from 1 species